rnacentral:rRNA from 1 species
AGUGAACGCUGGCGGUAGGCCUAACACAUGCAAGUCGAACGGCAGCACAGUAAGAGCUUGCUCUUACGGGUGGCGAGUGGCGGACGGGUGAGGAAUACAUCGGAAUCUACUUUUUCGUGGGGGAUAACGUAGGGAAACUUACGCUAAUACCGCAUACGACCUACGGGUGAAAGCAGGGGAUCUUCGGACCUUGCGCGAUUGAAUGAGCCGAUGUCGGAUUAGCUAGUUGGCGGGGUAAAGGCCCACCAAGGCGACGAUCCGUAGCUGGUCUGAGAGGAUGAUCAGCCACACUGGAACGGAGACACGGUCCAGACCCCUACGGGAGGCAGCAGUGGGGAAUAUUGGACAAUGGGCGCAAGCCUGAUCCAGCCAUACCGCGUGGGUGAAGAAGGCCUUCGGGUUGUAAAGCCCUUUUGUUGGGAAAGAAAAGCAGCAGGUUAAUACCCCGCUGUUCUGACGGUACCCAAAGAAUAAGCACCGGCUAACUUCGUG